rnacentral:rRNA from 1 species
UACGUAGGGCGCGAGCGUUGUCCGGAAUUAUUGGGCGUAAAGAGCUCGUAGGCGGUCUGUUGCGUCGGCUGUGAAAACCCGGGGCUCAACUCCGGGCCUGCAGCCGAUACGGGCAGACUAGAGUUCGGCAGGGGAGACUGGAAUUCCUGGUGUAGCGGUGAAAUGCGCAGAUAUCAGGAGGAACACCGGUGGCGAAGGCGGGUCUCUGGGCCGAUACUGACGCUGAGGAGCGAAAGCGUGGGGAGCGAACAGG